GAUGAACGCUGGCGGCGUGCCUAAUACAUGCGAGUCGAGCGAACAGACGAGGAGCUUGCUCCUCUGACGUUAGCGGCGGACGGGUGAGUAACACGUGGAUAACCUACCUAUAAGACUGGGAUAACUUCGGGAAACCGGAGCUAAUACCGGAUAAUAUAUUGAACCGCAUGGUUCAAUAGUGAAAGACGGGUUUGCUGUCACUUAUAGAUGGAUCCGCGCCGCAUUAGCUAGUUGGUAAGGUAACGGCUUACCAAGGCAACGAUGCGUAGCCGACCUGAGAGGGUGAUCGGCCACACUGGAACUGAAACACGGUCCAGACUCCUACGGGAGGCAGCAGUAGGGAAUCUUCCGCAAUGGGCGAAAGCCUGACGGAGCAACGCCGCGUGAGUGAUGAAGGUCUUCGGAUCGUAAAACUCUGUUAUUAGGGAAGAACAAAUGUGUAAGUAACUAUGCACGUCUUGACGGUACCUAAUCAGAAAGCCACGGCUAACUACGUG
rnacentral:rRNA from 1 species